GUUAUUUGGCUGGAGUGAGGUCCCAUGUCUGUUUAUGCGGUGGCUCGCUGCUCAGGAUGGGAUGGCAGAGAUGAACACCACCAUCAAAAACUCAAGGACCAGUGCUAUUGGUCCGGUCAUCUGUUUCAUGGAAUUCACCAGUCUGGUAUCUUCAGAAUCCAGAAGGAUGAUGGCAGAUGGCAGGAAACUAAUGCAAACACCGUCAGGUGUGGCCCCAGUGUAGCAGCUGUGAUUGAUGUUUUCUCCUUGCCAUAGCAAUAAAUAACACAACCUUGGUCACACUGUAUGCACUGUUGGUCUGCAAAAUCCAUGUUUUGCAAAACUCUUCAGGAAAGUGGAGCUGUAAUAUUGGCAUUGACAUGAAAACAACAGCAGUAUUUAUUCACAAUCUGAAUUUCUCUGUCUUCCUGUCUGUCUCAUUAGCCAUCCAAGUAGUCCUGAGGAACCAAGCCCAUCAGAACAUUCUGCAACAUAAUACACAGCUCCAUUCUCCAUUCAAAUUUUGUUGUUGUUGUUGUUGAUGAGACAACAUCUUACUCCAUCACCCAGGCUGAUGUACAGUGGGGCUAUCUGGACUCUGUAGCCUCCAGCUUCCAGGCUCAAGGCAUCUUCUCACCUCAGCCUCCUAAGUGGCUUGAACUACAGACACACAGCGACAUGCUGGGCUAUUUUUUGUAUAUUUUGUAGAGACGUGCUCUCACUAUGUUAUUCAGGCUGGACUCAAACUCCCGAGCUCAAGUGAUCCAAGCACCUUGGCCUCAAAGUGCUGGGAUUACAGGCCUGAGCCACUGCACCUAGCCCAAUCUCCAUUCUACUGAUAACAAUGUCAUUGCCAGGUCUGAUGGACAGGAAAUGGUAAGGUUUCUGAAAACCUAAGGAUCACACAGUGAGUUCCAAAGGCUGAAAGUGCAUGUCUGUCGACACUGAUACCAAUGACAUCCAAUGGAGGAAGAGGGUAAUCUGGAAGAGUUUCCUGACGUACUCUGCUGCUGUGAUUAAACAACCACCAGGAAAUUUUGAUGACACUGUUCUCCUGAGCUCCUCCCUUUCCUCAGGGAACAAAAGCAUUGAAACUACAAAAAUAAAGUGUUAUUUAGCUGGAGUGAGGUCUCAUGGCUGUUUAUGCGGUGGCUCGCUGCUCAGUACAGGGAACCAUUGGAGAUACUCGUUACUCUUUGAAGGCUUACAGUGGAAUGAAUUCAAAUAUGACUUAUUUGAGGAAUUGAAGUUGACUUUAUGGAGCUGAUAAGAAUCUUCUUGGAAAAAAAAAGACUGGAUAUAUUUUCAAUAUGCUUUCCUUUUAAGGUCCCGCACCUGUGGAAAGUAAAGAAUGUCACUUUCUGACAGGCUCAGGAACCUCAAGUUAUGUAGGGAUCUCAAGAAGAUUGGGGGAAUUCACCCAGUUCAUACAGGUGAAAUUGCUGUUGCAAAGAUUAUGAAUAUGAGAGAAGUCCAGCAUGGCUGACUUCAUCUCAUGUCUGGCCUCAGGCUGGCUGCCCUUGCUCACUGUUGGGCAUAGGCCAAGCUAGCCAUGGGAGGAAUGUAGUUUAUAGUUUAACUUUGAAGCAAGGAUGAUAAUAGUCUCUCCCUAAAAUGAACCCCUUCCUUGCUCAGGGACUGAAACUACCUUUUUACGACAAAUGAAAGCCCGCAAGAUUAAGACUGUGAGAGGGGCCUGAAUUCUGCUAAAAUGCAGGUGUAGCUGACUGAUAACCAGUCAUUGUCCCACAGCUUGCCUUUCUAUAAUCUGUUGCUCCUCAGGAAUCACAUGGCCAGAGGUCCUGAGAUUUCCAGUCCUGUGACCCCCACCCAGAGAUGGACUUAGUGCAUGAGGACCAUUUUCCACACCCCUAUGAUUUCAUUCUCAAACAAUCAGCACCCAUUCCCUAGCUCCCUGCCUGCCAAAUUAUCCAUAAAAGUCCUAGCCCCUGAGUUAUUAGGGAGAUUGAUUAAUAAUCCCAGUCCUACCCCUUGGGUUGCUCUGAUUUAAUUUAACCUUCUCUACUGCAAUACCACGGACUCAGUGAAUUGGUUUUGUCUGUGCAAUGGGCAAGAAGAACCUGUUGGGUGGUUAUACAGGUACUACAAGCACAGUCUGAUGGCAAAUUAUUGGUUUUGCUUCCUGCCCUUAAUGUUUCUAAACAUCUAGUCCAAAAUUACUCGUGAAAGGUCCAGCAAAGCCAAUUUUAAAAGAAAGAAUAGUGAUAUGGCCAAUCACUAUUCUUUCUGCACAUUAUUGCAAAUAAUCAGGCCACGGCUGGGCAUGGUGGCUCAUGCCUGCAAUCCCAGCACUUUGGGAGGCUGAGGCAGGUGGAUCACCUGAGAUCAGGAGUUCAAAACCAGCCUGGGCAACAUGGUAAAACCCUGUCCCUACUAAAAAUACAAAAUUAGCCGGGCAUGGUGGCAUGUACCUGUAAUCCCAGCUACUUGGGAGGCUGAGGGAGGAGAAGCACUUGAACCUGGGAGGCAGAGAUUGCAAUGAGCUGAGAUCACACCACUGCACUCCAGCCUGGGCAAUAGAGUGAGACUUUGUCUCAAAUAAUAAUAAUAAUAAUCAGACCAAGUAUAAUGAAAUUAAAAUUUAUUUUGCAAAUAAAUUGGUCCUACUAUAAUUUAUCCUUCAUAGAAAUGUGGAAACUGAAGAUUAAAAAAAUUAGGUUUCAGAAGAAAACUAUACUAUACCUGUUAUUAGAUGCUAGCCCUAAACAUUGUUUUUGAGGUUUUUAUUAUUUACCUGCAAUGUGGACUAAAUUCGGAAUUAUUUCCUGACUACAAGUAUCCAAAGAAUAAAUGGAUUUUCUUUUUUUUAUGAUAGUUUUGGUUGGCUUCUAAUGCAAUAACAAUUUUUAUUGUAAUCCUGUGUGCAUUCUAUUCCUACUAUUCAAAUUAUUAAUGUUACAGAUAUUUCAUUGUAGUACUUCUGAAUUAACCAAAAUCACAGUGUUCUGAAGAUGAUUCUACAAAGUAUGCUGUUUUCUACAAAGGCUGCUGAUGAUUUCUACAAAGCUUGCCAUAUUGUUGCUGUGGCCUCUGCUUAAAAAAGUAGAAAACACAUUGAUGCAGCAUGUUCACCCCAACCUCCCUGCCUAAAGGCUCAGGGACCACUGCAGAAGAGGAAGGUGCGUGAGAUUGUAAGAGCCGAAUUAGGGGGAUGGAGUGUGGAGGAUAAGGACACUUCAUCUUGGACGCUCACCGCCAAAUUGACUUCUGAUGAAAGCCAGCUCCAGAAAUGUGCCUACAGUUUCUACUUUCACCUAAACCCUGCCCUUAGUCAAAUCCUUCUCUUCUUCUAAGCAAUCAACUUCAAUUCCUUGUAUAACCCACAGUAAAAAAGGGCUUUUAUACCAUUCUAUCUUAUUGCAUGUAAGCCUUGGGUCUGGGAGGUAACAGUGUGGGAUUCCACCAUCUCAUCUCCCUGCCACCCAAACAUGCCCGCUCUUCUUUAAGCAAUAUUAAA
rnacentral:lncRNA from 1 species